rnacentral:rRNA from 1 species
AACGAACGCUGGCGGCAGGCCUAACACAUGCAAGUCGAACGCACCGCAAGGUGAGUGGCGCACGGGUGAGUAACACGUGGGAAUGUAUCCUUUGGUUCGGAAUAACGUCUGGAAACGGACGCUAAUACCGGAUGAGCCCUCAGGGGGAAAGAUUUAUCGCCGAAGGAGCAGCCCGCGUCUGAUUAGGUAGUUGGGGGGGUAAAGGCCUACCAAGCCGACGAUCAGUAGCUGGUCCGAGAGGAUGACCAGCCACACUGGUAAUGAGACACGGCCCAGACUCCUACGGGAGGCAGCAGUGGAGAAUAUUGGGCAAUGGGCGCAAGCCUGAUCCAGCCAUGCCGCGUGAGUGAUGAAGGCCUUCGGGUUGUAAAGCUCUUUCGCACACGACGAUGAUGACGGUAGUGUGAGAAGAAGCCCCGGCUAACUUCGUGCCAGCCGCCGCCGUAAUAC